rnacentral:rRNA from 1 species
GACGAACGCUGGCGGCGUGCCUAAUACAUGCAAGUAGGACGCAGUUGCGAACGGGUGAGUAACGCGUAGGUAACUACCUAUUAGAGGGGGAUAACUAUUGGAAACGAUAGCUAAUACCGCAUACUAGUAGAUGGACCUGCGUUGUAUUAGGUAGUAGGUAGGGUAAUGGCCUACCUAGGCAACGAUACAUAGUCGACCUGGGGGGGUGAUCGGACAAAAUGGGACUGGGGCACGGCCCAAACUCCUUCGGGGAGCAGCAGUAGGGAAACUUCGGAAAUGGGGGGAAAGCUGACCGAGCAACGCCGGGGGAGUGGAGGAAGGUUUCGGGUCGUAAAGCUCUGUUGGUAAGGAAGCGGUACUUAACCAGAAAGGGACGGCUAACUACGUGCCAGCCGCCGCGGUAAUAC